rnacentral:lncRNA from 1 species
UGAUAAUAUUUUUGAGUUCCUGCUUAUAUAAUAGUUUUCCAAGUAUGGUAAUAUUAAAUCAUCAUCUGUAUAUGUCUUUGGUUUCUGUCAAUAUUGUGAAGUUACCUGCAUAUGUUUUCUGGGUUAAGCCAGAGCAGUGGUGUAAUAUAGUGCUAAUUUUCAUAGUUUUGUUUAUACUAAGUUUCAAUGGCUUUGUACAUAACAGCCAAUCUAAUAGGUGAAAUAAUAUUUUAAAGCCUAAAUUAAGACUAAUUUUAAAUGCUUAAUGGCCAUGAUUUUAUAAAACUAAAUAGAUUUUCAGUUGUAGAAGCAACGUAAAGUUUCCAAAUUUUGCUAAGUUUACCUAGUGAUAACAUACAAUG